rnacentral:rRNA from 1 species
UACGUAGGGGGCGAGCGUUGUCCGGAAUUAUUGGGCGUAAAGGGCGCGUAGGCGGCCCGGCAAGUUAUCUGUGAAAGUCCACAUUUCAAGUGUGGGAGUGCAGGUAAAACUGCUGGGCUUGAGUGCAGGAGAGGAAAGUGGAAUUCCAAGUGUAGCGGUGAAAUGCGUAGAGAUUUGGAGGAACACCAGUGGCGAAGGCGACUUUCUGGACUGUAACUGACGCUGAGGCGCGAAAGCGUGGGGAGCAAACAGG